UACGUAGGGUGCAAGCGUUGUCCGGAAUUAUUGGGCGUAAAGAGCGUGUAGGCGGCCAGACAAGUCUGCUGUGAAAACUCGAGGCUCAACCUCGAGCUGUCGGUGGAAACUGUCUGGCUAGAGUCCGGAAGAGGAGAGUGGAAUUCCUGGUGUAGCGGUGAAAUGGGCAGAUAUCAGGAAGAACACCUAUGGCGAAGGCAGCUCUCUGGGACGGUACUGACGCUGAGACGCGAAAGCGUGGGGAGCGAACAGG
rnacentral:rRNA from 1 species